AGUCGAACGGAAGUCGUUAUGAUGAUUUCAACACUGACAGAGAACUUGUUCCAAAGAAAGUAGAGAUUGACUUAUAACAAUGGCUUUAGUGGCGGACUGGUGAGUAACACGUGAGCAACCUGCCUAUCAGAGGGGAAUAACAGUGAGAAAUCAUUGCUAAUACCGCAUAUGCCAUAAAUAUCACAUGAUGAAAGUGGGAAAGGAGUAAUCCGCUGAUAGAUGGGCUCGCGUCUGAUUAGAUAGUUGGUGGGGUAACGGCCUACCAAGUCGACGAUCAGUAGCCGGACUGAGAGGUUGAACGGCCACAUUGGGACUGAGAUACGGCCCAGACUCCUACGGGAGGCAGCAGUCGGGAAUAUUGCGCAAUGGAGGAAACUCUGACGCAGUGACGCCGCGUAUAGGAAGAAGGUUUUCGGAUUGUAAACUAUUGUCGUUAGGGAAGAUACAAGACAGUACCUAAGGAGGAAGCUCCGGCUAACUACGUGCCAGCAGCCGCGGUAAUACGUAGGGAGCAAGCGUUAUCCGGAUUUAUUGGGUGUAAAGGG
rnacentral:rRNA from 1 species